rnacentral:rRNA from 1 species
AAGCGUCCGCAGGUGGCUAUUUAAGUCUGCUGUUAAAGAGUGAGGCUCAACCUCAUAAAAGCAGUGGAAACUGAUGGCUAGAGUGCGUUCGGGGUAAAGGGAAUUCCUGGUGUAGCGGUGAAAUGCGUAGAUAUCAGGAAGAACACCGGUGGCGAAAGCGCUCUGCUGGGCCGCAACUGACACUGAGGGACGAAAGCUAGGGGAGCGAAUGGGAUUAGAUACCCCAGUAGUCCUAGCCGUAAACGAUGGAUACUAGGUGUGGCUUGUAUCGACCCGAACCGUGCCGUAGCUUACGCGUUAAGUAUCCCGCCUGGGGAGUACGCAAGCAAGUGUGAAACUCAAAGGAAUUGACGGGGGCCCGCACCAGCGGUGGAGUAUGUGGUUUAAUUUGAUGCAACGCGAAGAACCUUACCAAGACUUGACAUGUUGCGAACUUUCCUGAAAGGGAAGGGUGCCUUUGGGAGCGCGAACACAGGUGGUGCAUGGCUGUUGUCAGGUUGUGUUGUGAGAUGUUGGGUUAAGUCCCGCAACGAGCGCAACCCUUGUUUUUAGUUGCCAGCACUUAGGGUGGGCACUCUAGAGAGACUGCCGGUGACAAACCGGAGGAAGGUGGGGAUGACGUCAAGUCAGCAUGCCCCUUACGUCUUGGGCUACACACGUACUACAAUGGUACGGACAAAGGGCAGCAAGCUAGCGAUAGCAAGCAAAUCUCACAAACCGUAGCUCAGUUCAGAUCGCAGGCUGCAACUCGCCUGCAUGAAGGAGGAAUCGCUAGUAAUUGCAGGUCAGCAUACUGCAGUGAAUUCGUUCCCGGGCCUUGUACACACCGCCCGUCACACCAUGGAAGUUGGUCACGCCCGAAGUCAUUACCAGAACCCCGCGGGGAGUGAAAUACGUAAGGCAGGACUGAUGACUGGGGUGAAGUCGUAACAAGGUAGCCGUACCGGAAGGUGUGGCUGGAUCACCUCCUUU